AGAUAAUGAAGUAAAAUUUACAUUUAGUUUCGACCUAAAAUUAGGAAUCUCUACAUUCCCUUAUCUA
rnacentral:tRNA from 1 species